rnacentral:rRNA from 1 species
GAAAAAUUAGUCCCAGUUCAGAUUGCAGGCUGAAACUCGCCUGCAUGAAGUCGGAAUUGCUAGUAAUCGCAGAUCAGAAUGCUGCGGUGAAUACGUUCCCGGGCCUUGUACACACCGCCCGUCACACCAUGGGAGUCGGUAACACCCGAAGCCGAUAGUCUAACCGCAAGGAGGACGUCGUCGAAGGUGGGAUUGAUGACUGGGGUGAAGUCGUAACAAGGUACC